rnacentral:piRNA from 1 species
UACUCACAAGGUCAGAUACACCCUGCUUU